UACGUAGGGUGCAAGCGUUAAUCGGAAUUACUUGGCGUAAAGCGUGCGCAGGCGGUUUUGUUAGACAGAUGUGAAAUGCCCGGGCUUAACCUGGGAACUGCAUUUGUGACUGCAUGGCUAGAGUUUGGCAGAGGGGGGUAGAAUUCCACGUGUAGCAGUGAAAUGCGUAGAUAUGUGGAGGAACACCGAUGGCGAAGGCAGCCCCCUGGGUCAAGACUGACGCUCAUGCACGAAAGCGUGGGGAGCAAACAGG
rnacentral:rRNA from 1 species